rnacentral:lncRNA from 1 species
UCCAUGAUCUCCCCUGAGUUGAGUGCCACCCUGAUGUCGAGUUGUACAGACCUCGCUAAGUCCCACUAAGAUGUCGUUUUAGUCGUACAAGGAUGAACCUCCCCUGCGUCCCGUCCUAGUCCUAAGAUGUCUUUGAGUCUUACAAGGAUGAACCUCCCCUGCGUCCUAAGAUGUCUUUGAGUCGUACAGGGAUGACAGUCUGAUGUCUUUCAGUCGUAUAUACAGAUCUCCUAUGAGUCAUUUGAUAUAUAAAAUUUCCAUUAAUAAUCUACUUUAGGACAUUGCUCAUUUCUGUGAUCAA